GACAUAGGUUGCGAACGUUAUCCGGAAUUAUUGGGCGUAAAGAGCUCGUAGGCGGUUUGUCGCGUCUGCCGUGAAAGUCCGGGGCUCAACUCCGGAUCUGCAGUGGGUACGGGCAGACUAGAGUGAUGUAGGGGAGACUGGAAUUCCUGGUGUAGCGGUGAAAUGCGCAGAUAUCAGGAGGAACACCGAUGGCGAAGGCAGGUCUCUGGGCAUUAACUGACGCUGAGGAGCGAAAGCAUGGGGAGCGAACAGG
rnacentral:rRNA from 1 species